UGCUUCUUUUUAAAAUAAUUAAACUGGUGGCUAACAACGAGGUACUGCUUUAGGGUUUUUGGUGAAAUACCUUGUAAAGGUUUGUAUAGACUCGAUCAAUUUGCAGAACAGAAAUAAGUACUCAAGCCCCUUUUGGCUUUCAAGGACAGCUGUUUGCUCUAGUUUCAGCCCUCUGAUUAAGGCUUCAGGAAGGGACACAGAGCGAUGAGAUAUGCAAUUGCUGCCUUUGGAAGACUUAACAAGCAUGUAGGGGAUUUCUAUGUUCUCUGCAUUUUCUUUUCUUUAUAAGUACAGCAAAAGGAAAACUUCAAAAACGCUACCCAAAGGAGUAUAACUCAACAGACGUCAAAGGUUUGAUGUUUCCUUGGACACAGUAGCGCCUCUGAAUUCCUUUGAGACAAGCAUCAUCUAUCUUGAAUUAACCUGAAAAUGUGGCAAGCCAUUCAUACUUUUGAAGAGAAGCACAGGCCCCACUGCUCCAGCGUAAAUAUGCUCUGAGUUGCCAUUGAUGACAAGAAGUCGUGAAACAAGUGACCAGCUUAUCUUCAGGAAAGAACCAGUAUCUGGAUUAUUUCCAGGCCAUCCAGACAGUUAUUUCAACUGGAACAAGUGACCUUUGGAACAGACUAGAACAUAGCAGUCUGGCCAGACAGAGGGGAGGGAGUAGUCAACUGGGAAGGGCCCCAACAUGUUCUUGUGAAAUGUCACUUGAAAUAAGAGGACAAUAAAAAGUUAAGGACAAAUAAAUGAACUUAAAAAUAUUUAAGUCAAUAAAAACUGUGUGACCACAAUAUGGAAUU